rfam:Picea glauca, whole genome shotgun sequence.
UUAAAGGUGUUUUUGAACACCACCAUUCUGUUAGAUUUUCUUUACUU